UGACCAAAUUUAUGGCCUAGUGGUAGAGCGUCUGCCUCAGAUGAGGGAGGUCACAGGUUCGAACCCUGGCCAAGUCAU